CCCUUAGAUGUUCUGGGCCGCACGCGCGCUACACUGAUGCAUUCAACGAGCCUAUCCUUGACCGACAGGUCCGGGUAAUCUUUGAAUCUGCAUCGUGACGGGGAUAGAUUAUUGCAAUUAUUAAUCUUCAACGAGGAAUGCCUAGUAAACGCAAGUCAUCAGCUUGCAUUGAUUACGUCCCUGCCCUUUGUACACACCGCCCGUCGCUCCUACCGAUUGAAUGAUCCGAUGAAUAUCAUGGGUUGAGGAUGCAAGUAGGUUCGUCUAUCUUCAUCUUCGAGAAGUGAAGUAAAUCUUAUCAUUUAGAGGAAGGAGAAGUCGUAACA
rnacentral:rRNA from 1 species